CCUACGGGGGGCAGCAGUGAGGAAUAUUGGUCAAUGGGCGAGAGCCUGAACCAGCCAAGUAGCGUGAAGGAUGACUGCCCUACGGGUUGUAAACUUCUUUUAUAAAGGAAUAAAAUGAGGCACGUGUGCCUUUUUGUAUGUACUUUAUGAAUAAGGAUCGGCUAACUCCGUGCCAGCAGCCGCGGUAAUACGGAGGAUCCAAGCGUUAUCCGGAUUUAUUGGGUUUAAAGGGAGCGUAGAUGGGUUGUUAAGUUAGUUGUGAAAGUUUGCGGCUCAACCGGAAAAUUGCAAUUGAUACUGGUAGUCUUGAGUAUAGAUGCGGUAGGCGGAAUGUGUGGUGUAGCGGUGAAAUGCUUAGAGAUCACGCAGAACGCCGAUUGCGAAGGCAGCUUACCAAUCUGUAACUGACAUUGAUGCUCGAAAGUGUGGGUAUCAAACAGGAUUAGAUACCCCAGUAGUC
rnacentral:rRNA from 1 species